rnacentral:rRNA from 1 species
AUUGAACGCUGGCGGCAGGCUUAACACAUGCAAGUCGAGCGGUAGCACAGGGGAGCUUGCUCCCUGGGUGACGAGCGGCGGACGGGUGAGUAAUGUCUGGGAAACUGCCUGAUGGAGGGGGAUAACUACUGGAAACGGUAGCUAAUACCGCAUAACGUCGCAAGACCAAAGAGGGGGACCUUCGGGCCUCUUGCCAUCAGAUGUGCCCAGAUGGGAUUAGCUAGUAGGUGGGGUAAUGGCUCACCUAGGCGACGAUCCCUAGCUGGUCUGAGUGGAUGACCAGCCACACUGGAACUGAGACACGGUCCAGACUCCUACGGGAGGCAGCAGUGGGGAAUAUUGCACAAUGGGCGCAAGCCUGAUGCAGCCAUGCCGCGUGUGUGAAGAAGGCCUUCGGGUUGUAAAGCACUUUCAGCGAGGAGGAAGGUGGUGAGCUUAAUACGUUCAUCAAUUGACGUUACUCGCAGAAGAAGCACCGGCUAACUCCGUG